rnacentral:rRNA from 1 species
ACUAUAAGUAAGCGGAGGGACAAGAAACUAAACAGGAUCCCCAUAGUAAUGGCGAAUGAACCGGGAUAAACUCAGCAUGGAAAUUGGGGCCUUUGGCUUUGACUUGUAAUCUGGUGAGGCAUUGCCAACAGAGGCGCAUAUGUAAGUCUCUUGGAAAAGAGCAUCAACGAAGGUGAGAGUCCUGAUUGUCAUGUGCAGCCCCCCUGUGCACGGUGUGCCUUCUAAGAGUCACGUUCCUUGGGAUUGGAGCGCAAAUUGGGUGGUAACUUUCAUCUGAAGUUAAACAAUGGUUUGGGACCGAUAGGAAACAAGUACCAUGAGGGAAAGGUGAAAAGGACUUUGGAAAGAGAGUUAAAAGUGCCUGAAAUUGCUGAAGGGGAAGCGAAUGGAACCAGUAGUGCUGGGUGAGAUUGUCACAUGCUACAAGGAUUGGUUGCUGCCACAACGCAAGUGUGAUGGCGAUGUGUGAAUUGCUAGUGUGUGGUGUGUCUUACCUAGUGGGUCAUUGUGGGUUUAUGCAUUAAGAUAAGUCAAAGCAAGCGGGAGCAAGUUUACGAGUUUGUGAAUGUGUGUUGUUAUGCUUGUGCGUAAGCUUUAGUGUUUGUCUGGCUGCAGGGCUGUCCAUCCUCAAGCAGGACUUGUGGUUGCGAUGAGCAUAACCUUCUGCACAGAUUCUUGACGAAAUGGUUUCAUUCGACCGUCU